CGGACGGGUGAGUAAUGUCUGGGAAACUGCCUGAUGGAGGGGGAUAACUACUGGAAACGGUAGCUAAUACUGCAUAACGUCGCAAGACCAAAGAGGGGGACCUUCGGGCCUCUUGCCAUCGGAUGUGCCCAGAUGGGAUUAGCUAGUAGGUGGGGUAACGGCUCACCUAGGCGACGAUCCCUAGCUGGUCUGAGAGGAUGACCAGCCACACUGGAACUGAGACACGGUCCAGACUCCUACGGGAGGCAGCAUG
rnacentral:rRNA from 1 species